rnacentral:lncRNA from 1 species
CUUACAUUAUUACAUUAAUGUCAGGGACCUCAAUCAAAAACCAAAAACUAACAAGGUUUCAAUCAAAGAAUGUUGAUAGCUAGGGACCGCAUCCAAAGUGUCCCUUAUCAUAAUUAUAACAAAAAAUUGAUAUGAAAGUAUUAGUAUACCUUUAUACCCUUAAAUGGUUGUGGUUGUAUUAAGACUGCCUCCAAAUCAUAGAAAAAUGGGUGUCCUGGGGUUUGAAUGUAGAUUCGCAAAGGCAUGGUUAGGAGUCUAUUGGUAGUUCUCACUUUGAAUGCCAUGGUUUGGAGUUGAGGUUGAGUGCGACGGUGGUCUUAGAUCCCGUCAACAGUAUUAAUUUCAGACCUCAUCGAAGUUGUUAAAGUCAAACCCAACCGGCAUCGAUCGUCUCCAUUCUUUCCUUGAGGCAUUGGGUCCAAAGGACCCAAGCAAUUAAAAUUAAAAUUGCUUAUGAAAAUGAAAACUGAUAUAUCAAUCAAUAAUCAUGGCAAGGUCGGUGCGGGAGGAAGGG